CAGUCGCCGCGGUAAUACAGAGGGUGCAAGCGUUAAUCGGAAUUACUGGGCGUAAAGCGCGCGUAGGUGGUUUGUUAAGUUGGAUGUGAAAUCCCCGGGCUCAACCUGGGAACUGCAUCCAAAACUGGCAAGCUAGAGUAUGGUAGAGGGUGGUGGAAUUUCCUGUGUAGCGGUGAAAUGCGUAGAUAUAGGAAGGAACACCAGUGGCGAAGGCGACCACCUGGACUGAUACUGACACUGAGGUGCGAAAGCGUGUGGAGCAAACAGGAUUAGAUACCCGAGUAGUCCCUGUCUCUUAUAC
rnacentral:rRNA from 1 species